GUUGAAACACCGGUUCUCGUCAGAUCAACGAAGUUGAGCAAUGUCGAGCCUGGUCAGUACUUAGAUGGGUGAGCAAUUGAGAAUAACA